UAAAUCAUUGUUUUGGCUGCUGGGACAAACUCAGAAUCUGGUACCCACGGUAACCCUUCAAUUACACAAAGGCUUUCCAGUUCAUUGUUACUGCACUGAAGAACAGUCUUCACAACUAUACCUGGAACUUAUUAGGCCAGGAAGGCAAGGCGUUGAGUGUUUCAAUUGAAUAUUGCAACUGAAGACAUUCACUCUGUGUUGAUCACCUAUGGAGUGAUCAAAUUUCAACCCUUUGAAGUUUCCUAAAUGAAAGAGUCACUCUGAAUUCAAAGGCUGUUUGAAUGAACUGACUGCUUCAGCACUGUCUUGUAGAUAUAGUCCAUUCAAAUAAAAGACAAAUAUCUGACUGAAUUUUGUUAGCACGUUAAGACAUUUAUUAUAAAAAGAUUUAAGAAGAAAAUAAUGGCCACAAUUCUUCAGAAAACAUGUGAACUAAUGUGACAAAACACUGUGGUGUUGCAAACUCAAGUGCUGCUCUGGCCAAAUCACCUCGCUGAAAUCUCCACUUCCACUUGUGCACCCUGCCAAGCCACUCUCUACACAGCUGCCAGAGUGAUUACAAAAACAACGCGGG